rnacentral:misc_RNA from 1 species
UUAAAUAGUAAUUUACUUGGAUAAAAAAUUUAUUAUAAAGGAAUGGGCUUGAAUUUUCCAUCAGAAUCCCUAUUCACUAUUCCGAUGGCAAAGCCCUGACAAGGCUUAACCAAGAAUGUUGAACCAUUUUAUGUUGGCCCAUUACAGCAGCUGGACACAUCAGUCACGGCCCCUCCUCAGUCAGGACAUGUCUUUGACUUUGUUGGUUAAAUGUUUGCUUAAAUUUCAUGGCCCUCCACUGACAAAAACAGGGAUGGUGCAGCACUGCAGCAAUUAAGAGAGGAAAAAAAGGAAGAGUAGCAAUGGGCCAGCAAAAUAGAUAUGGAGCAAGGGAUGAGCAUGAGUUGUUUCCGGUUGUAGGUUUCGUUGAAUUAGGUCCACGCUCCACCCUGCUCAAAACCACUAAUCCAGUUUUAUAAGAUAGAGUUUUCAAUGUGAAUAGGACGUUUCAUAUAAAACCUACCAUUGCAGGAUUUUGCUGGCUUCUGUAUUAUGAAAGCUGUCCAAGUGCCCGUUUUAACUUCCAGAUUUGGAUGCCAGGACAGGAAAAAGAUCUUCAUACUUUAACCCAUAACAUAAAUCCAAACCAAAGAAGUGGGGACCCUCCCCAAACCCUUUUUUAAACUGGGUAGCUACGCUCAAUGCAAACUAGACCGGGCACCGGUCUGGUCUGAAUUGCAACCCGCAAUUCAAAAUUGAGAAAGAAGACAAGUCAAAACUAGACCAGCUCUUGAUGGUUUCAGCCAGUUCCUAUACAAGAUGAUUCAGAAUAGAUUCCGAUCCGAUUUAAUGUAUUAAAACCAUACCACCGGACUCAACUGCAGAUUCCAAAUCAAGGUUUGAAGAAGAAAGGACUGACAGUGACCUCCCCAUUUAAGGUUCAAGGCGGGUUCAGGCUGUUGAAUCUUUGACUAGAAUUGAUUUAGAGUUUAACCUGAACUGAUCUGACCCAAUCCAGGGGCUGAAUCGACCCUAGCCAGGUCUACCUGUAGCAAGCCACAAUUUUCAAAUUCUGGGCAUCGGCUGAAGCUUCCUGAUACUAACACAAAAGUUCUUUUGCCUAGUAGUCUGCAUGACCGUCAGAUUCCUUUUAGACCAUCCUCCCCGGCCCCAACACAAGUAGCUUUGUUGGAAAUCCAGGUGUCCAUUGCAUAGCAUGUUUUGGUAUUGGAGCAAGCACCCUGAUAGUCUGGAGACGUUCCGAACACCAUAUGUAGUCAACUGUGCCUAAGAAACACCUAUUGUAGCUGGUCACCAAUGGUUCGCCAUUUGAGUCUCUUGUCCCUGAACAGUCCUCCAUUCCUGCAUACGUGCUUUUAAGCUUCAAAGGAUGUUCCAAAAGCAUACUGUCUGCAUUGCCAGUAGCAGUUGCCAUUUCCAUUGGAGUCCAUAAUGAUGGAUCAUAUGCAUUUCUGUCCACGCUGACAGCCUCAGAAUCUGGGUCCAGAGAAAAGUCAUCAAGAACUUCAUUAAUAGGUGAAUGCAACUCUGAGUCAUUUGGAUCAGAAGCAAAUUCAUUCUGGGAGAGACCCAAAUCAGAUUGUCCGAUUUGACAAAUGUCUGAGGAAUCUUCUGAGUUAUGUAGCGCAGAUAAAAAUGUACUUCGACUUUCACCUAUCAUUUCGCUUUCCAAUUGGAAGUUGUUUAUCUCCUGCCGAGAUGCAUCAUCCAGUUUCUUAUCUGCAUGGUAAAUGCUAGUAGAGACACUUGAGAUAUUGGCUUGAAAGGGGGCUGAAAGGUCACAAUUCUCAUCAUUAACAACUGGCUGGGAAGGCAGAUUUCCAGAGCUCUCCAGACGAGAGACUUUAAGAGAUUGUGCAAGAUUAUUGAAGUCUGUGCCUUUAUUUUCUUUAUAAAUGUUAGAGUGGGAAUGCUCACAUGGCAAUCCCUGACUAGAAAGAGAAGAAGACUUUGUCUGUUCCAUCUCAUUCUUAUCUGGAUAGGCGUCUUGAGCAGGGGAAGCUAAUGUAGGAUUUAACUUAUAAAUCUGCUCAUUCAUUUUACCAUCAGCAAACUGACUCUCACUAUGAGAUACAGUUAGAUUUUCCUCAAUGCUAUCAAUCAAAACUGAGAUAGUUGACUUGGCACCUUCCUUACAACUGUCUAUAACAUCCUGCUGAGUUUCUUUUGUCUCUUCAACACAUACUGCAUUGUCCACAGUCCCAAAUUGCACCGAUUUGCAUGACAUAUAAGACACAUCUAGCACAGUUCUAGUAUGUUGAGGCUGAGAGUAAUCAUUAAUAGAAGGAAUAUUCUCCUCACUUUUGUCCAGAUAAUUCUGCUUUUGUGUGUCAAACAGAGAAUCAGCCAGCUGGUUUGAGUUAUUGGAAGAAUAAGUCCUGGGAUUGGGAUUAGGACUAUGACUUAGGUUAUAUGGCCUUGGAGGACGUAUUUCAGCCGAAGCUUGUCCUGAUACCUUAUCUCGAUCAACUCCAGACAAAUCUAACUACAAAAUAUCAAUGAAACUAACAGUGCAUUCACAGUACUCAUACAUCAAAUAUGCCAAAAAAAAAAAUGGAACAAAAAUUACCUUCUGUUCCGAGAUAAAAUUGUACAAUGGACUCUAUGCAAAAGCAUGAAUGUCAGCAUCAUAAUAAACUAUUACAGAAAUCAACAAGUCACAGAAGACCAAAACAGGAUAAUUUUAUGCCAUUUAAGAAAUGCAAAACUAGUAGUUAUAACCUUUGGUGUACAGUUAAAAUCUCCACAAAGAACAACUGGUGCAUUCCACGUUUUUGAAACAGCAUAUGCUUUAUCUAGGAGUGUUCUAACCUGACCAAGCUUAAUUUCUCCUCUUUUAGGAUUGUAAAGCACAUGAAUAUUACAUAUGAUCACUUUAUUAGAACCUGCUGAACUUGGAGGCUGAGCCAAUGAAUGUGCAUUACAAUGUUUACUCGUUAACUGCUCUAGCACACAUAUCUGACAAACAUUAUCCCGAAGUCCAAGCUUAUUGAACUCAAUAGAUUCUUCAUACAGCAACUUGAAUCUAACAUGGAUGUAGUCAAUUGAAGUUUUAGACUACAUUAACAAAUAUUUGCUUGAUUCCAUAUCUUAUAAGACCAACAUGAAUAAUAAAAUAUCUUUUUUUUUUCCAAAACUUAAAAAAGAAGAACAAGAUAGAGAAAGUUAAAGAGCAAAAUUAAGCAGCAAAGGGGGAAAAAUCAACAGAUGAAUUUUUAUCACACACACCUCCUGCAACAUAUGAGCCAAAAUCCAAAUUUGAACUGAAUUACCACAAAGAAAUCAGGUGGAAAUAGGGUCCAUCAAGAUAUUGGUUAAGGUACACAAACUAAAGACUUAAGACUAAUCCAUAUUCAAGAGAUAUUCAACUCUGAAUUUCUUCAAAAUGUUGCUCUCCCUGGAAGAUAUGCUGCCAUUGGCUGCCCAUGGACUAUCAUUCAAAAAGCAUAGAAUCAAGUGUGUGUGUGUGUGAGAAACCUAAUGACAGAAUGGCUGCUCUGUUGUAGGGAGAAUUUAGAGGAGAGUGCCAUAAAUUUGUGGAGCUUUCAUGGCAUACAAAUUGCGAGGCGUGACUAUGUAUGCAUUGUUGUGAAAAUAGGUGCACUAUCUAUGUGGAAAGAAAGAGCUCCAAGGAAGCUAAAGUGGAGAUGGAUGAAUUACUUAUUUAAAAAGAACACAUUAAAGCAGCAAUUUCAACAACAAUAAAUAGAACAGUGGCCAACUGCCUAUUUGAACAAUAAACAUUCUAUGGUAACAAAUGUAACUAUUAAUCUCCAUGCAGCAUCAUAAAUGAGAACCAACUAAAGGGCCAUAAAAACUGUAGGUGUUCUUUUACCUUGAUGUUCUCCAAAACAUUGCACAACCAUCAACCGCAUUGCCAGUUCGCAUCUAUACCAAAUAGGAACAUUAUAAACUCUUUUUAUCCACUGGAAAAGACGGGCAACAUCUUUUUAUUUAUUUAUUUAUUUCUUUUCUGAUGAUCAAAUAAGAGCUCUAUAACGGUUUGGCCAACCUCUAAUUCAACUUCCCAGGCCAUGGCAUUUUUAUAGAAAAGGAGACUAACUUGUUGCAUAUGAGAGUGUAGAGUGUACAAACCAUCAAGAUUAACUAUAUAUGCUCAUUUUCAUGCAAGCUCACCCAAAUAUACACAUUGCAACAAAAAAUAACACACAUUUUUCCAGCUUCAUUGACAUUGUCACAAAGAAUGGAAAAUUAUGAGCAUUAUUGUUUGAGAAAUACAGGAAUGACACAAUACAAGCAUGUGCAUGCACACAGACUCCUAGUAAAUUAAAACACUUUAAAUAGAAUCAUCACUUUGAAGAUGGCUAUUGAACAAUGGCUUUAGACAGAGCAUGGGAAUCUCAAAUCUGCUACCUUAGGGCCUCAGUUAAGUUAGAUCAUCAAUGUCUUUCAAUUUAAAUUCUUACUUUCACUUCAAGUUGUGGCCUUAUCAAUAUUAGAAUGAGACAAUUUGUGAAGUGUGUACUGACAACUAAAACAGAGCGUAAUCAAAUGCAAAUAUAGAGAGAGGAACCAGUGGCUUUUCAAAACAGACCUUCCAAAUGCCACUGUAUCCCCG